GUCACUUUCGCGUCCAUUCCGGGCUUCUGGCCGCAAGGCGCCAGCGCUUCCGGGCCCCAGCAGCCUGCGGUCAGGGCCUGCAGCUGGCUUCCCACUAAGAGCUGCUCACGUCCCCGAGGCCGAGCGCACCCUUAGGGCACGGUGGCCACGCGAGGGACCUCGCGGAAAGCCGGGCUUGGAGCUGGUACUCACCUUGGCUACUAGGGGCGCAGAUGCCUCCACGGGCGCUGGAGAACUGGCGCCAGGCGGGGCUCGGCGCGGCGCUCUCCUCUGGGGCGCUUCUUCCGCGGUGCCCCCGCCCUGCUGGGGGGCUCGGCGCGCCAGGAGCCGGGACCGCACCCUGCCGUCUUUACUGCAGGGCUUUAUUUCCAGGAGUUCCCAUUCGGGCGAAAGCUUUGUUCACUACAGAACUUCCCCAGAGACCCAUCCACUCUUCGGGGAAAGCACAAUUGAUUCCCUAAGAUUCGCUGACUCCUCGAAAUCUUGCUGUUUCCACCAAUUCUUGCUCAAUACUAACUAAAGCCCGCUUUGAAACACCUUCCUUGAGUCAGACUUCCAGUUCUCAAUAAACUGACCUUGCCUUUUGCUCCCAGCCAUUGGUAAAGCUUUGCCAGGUCAUGCUGUCCCUUACUGUGGCCAGCAGUUAACUCAGCCUUGUCUUACCGACACGUUGAGUUUGUAAUGUUUGGGGACUGUCAGGACAAAUACAAAUUUAAAAUAAGGUUUACUACUUCCUGUUGAAAAUAUGAGAUUUCCCUCCCUUUUUCUUCGAACAUUUACUUUUAGAAAAUUGGUAAUUAGUGUAAGUACUUUUUCCUCUCUUUGAAAUAUAUAAAUCCUUUUGAAGACUAGUUAGGCCUUUUUGUGCGCUUUAUAACCUAGAUAUGUCUUUUUCUAGGACCUAGGAGCCAUCUCUUUAAGUAUCAAGGGAGUUAAUGCCCCUGUCUCCCAGUUUUAAUGGGGGAGUAGGAGCCUAACUUCAGUGGGCCCUUUGCUCCAACUUACAAAAUUAUCUCAUAUCAUAAAGAUACAAGUUUCUUUUUCCUCUAGAUAAAGCCAAUUGGCUAACACAGAGGAUCAUCCCAAAUAUCAGGUUAGAUGAACUGUGUGUGAUGAAAAAUGCUGCCAAGUUCCCUUGAGAGCUAGUUAUUGUUUAUCUUGAAAAUGUGUGUAAUAGAUUGCUUGGCUGCACAAAAGAGUGAGAUUUCGUUCUGUCUUUGCAGUCUCUUAAUGGAUUGCCUGUGAUGGGUAUCACAUUCUAGUUUAAUGCUUAUUCAAUUACAAAGUGUUUUCUUUCUCCACUACCUUUCUGAAGAGGGUUGGGAGAUUGUACUUUUAAUUAUAUUUCCUGAACAGGAGCCAGCUUCCCACACAUAGUAGGUGCUCAAUAAAUAUUUGAAGAAUGAAUGAGUGACAGAAAUCUUUCUUAGGCCGACUCUCUAUAUUUGCAUUCCAUGAUUUGAAGAAAUUGGAAUGAACGCAGUUUUCACCCAUGGCUCCAGCAGGCCCAGAAUCGUGUUUUAUGAUUUUGUUUUGCAUUACAAAAAGGUGGUCAGGCACGGUGGCUCACGCCUGUAAUCCCAGCACUUUGGGAGGCCGAGGCGGGCCGAUCACUUGAGGUCAGGAGUUGAAGACCAGCCUGGCCAACAUGGUGAAACCCCGUCUCUGCUAAAAUACAAAAAUUAGGCCAGGUGCGGUGGCUCACACCUGUAAUUCUAGCACUUUGGGAGGCUGAAGUGGGCGGAUCACCUGAGGUCAGGAGUUCAAGACCAGCCUGGACAACAUGGUGAAACCCUUUCCCUGCUAAUAAUACAAAAAUUAGCUGGGCGAGGUGGUACAUGCCUUUAAUCCCAGCUAUUCAGGAGACUGAGGCAGGAGAAUCGCUUGAACAUGGGAGGCAGAGGUUGCAGUGAGCGGAGAUUGCACCACUGCAUUCCAGCCUGGGCAACAGAGGAAAACUCUGUCUCAAAAAAACAAAACCAAAUUAGCCGGGAGUGGUGACAGGCACUUGUAAUCCCAGAUGCUCAGGAGGCUGAGGCAGGAGAAUCACUUGAACCCAGGAGAUGGAGGUUGCAGUGAGCUUCGAUCAUGCCAUUGCACUCCAGCCUGGGCAAUAGAAUGAGACUCCGUCUCCGAUUAUGUUAGCUAGCAUAACAUAAUGCUAGCUUAUCCAUUCAAUACUGAAAGGAUUGCUUUAGUUGAGUGUCUUAAUAGCUUUAAAAAUAGAGGUCAUAAGACUCACAGACUCUUUGUGGCAAUACUAAAUGAUAAAGAAUGAAGGGCCAUGCCUGGCAAGGGUUGUCAUGCACCUCUACACUUCAAGAAGAAACUAUGCCUUAACUGCCACAAGGUUUUUAUUCUCUGGCAGCCAAACAAGCACUGGCCUCUAGAUAAGCAAUAUUCAAACAAUGUGCUUUUCAUCCACCUCCACAUGCUGACUGACACGCCCCCUGCCCCAGCCCCACCACUUCCACAAAUAAUUACUGCUUUGAUUGGACCAGAGACUGACUGCAGUAACUUUUUCCUGAUGGGAAACAACCGAACAGGGGCUGAUUCUGGCGGUUUACAGAGGCUGCACACAAGUGCAUCGGUGUCCUGAAAAGAUCUUUCAACUUAUAGGGUCUAAAUGUAAUACAUGAAUACCUGUAAAUGCUAAGAGUCCAC
rnacentral:lncRNA from 1 species